rnacentral:rRNA from 1 species
GGCCUCACAAGGUUACUGACGUCAGCCAAACUCCGAAUGCCGACACGGUGUAAUGCGGCAGUGAGACGGCGGGGGAUAAGCUCCGUGCGUCGAGAGGGAAACAGCCCAGAUCGCCGGCUAAGGCCCCUAAGCGUGUGCUAAGUGGAAAAGGAUGUGCAGUCGCGAAGACAACCAGGAGGUUGGCUUAGAAGCAGCCACCCUUGAAAGAGUGCGUAAUAGCUCACUGGUCAAGUGAUUGUGCGCCGAUAAUGUAGCGGGGCUCAAGCACACCGCCGAAGCCGCGGCAGCACACCUUGUGUGUGCUGGGUAGGGGAGCGUCCUGCAUCCGGUGAAGCC